rnacentral:rRNA from 1 species
UACGGGAGGCAGCAGUGGGGAAUAUUGCACAAUGGGCGCAAGCCUGAUGCAGCCAUGCCGCGUGUAUGAAGAAGGCCUUCGGGUUGUAAAGUACUUUCAGCGGGGAGGAAGGCGAUGUGGUUAAUAACCGCGUCGAUUGACGUUACCCGCAGAAGAAGCACCGGCUAACUCCGUGCCAGCAGCCGCGGUAAUACGGAGGGUGCAAGCGUUAAUCGGAAUUACUGGGCGUAAAGCGCACGCAGGCGGUCUGUUAAGUCAGAUGUGAAAUCCCCGGGCUUAACCUGGGAACUGCAUUUUGAACUGGCAGGCUUGAGUCUCGUAGAGGGGGUCAGAAUUCCAGGUGUAGCGGUGAAAUGCGUAGAGAUCUGGAGGAUACCGGUGGCGAAGGCGGGCCCCUGGGACGAGACUGACGCUCAGGGUGCGAAAGCGUGGGGAGCGAAACAGGAUUAGGAUAACC